AUUCCAGCUCCAAUAGCGUAUAUUAAAGUUGUUGUGGUUAAAAAGCUCGUAGUUGGAUCUCGGGUGGGCUGCGUCGGUCUCCAAUCGGUAGUACUGACGACGCCCGCCUUGCUGCCGGGUAUCCGCUCCCUGCCUUCACUGUCGGGGACGGAGAAUCGGCGACGUUACUUUGAGUAAAUUAGAGUGUUCAAAGCAAGCCAUCGCUCUGAAUAUAAUAGCAUGGGAUAACACGACAGGACUCUGGCCUAUCGUGUUGGUCUGUAGGACCAGAGUAAUGAUUAAGAGGGACAGUCGGGGGCAUUCGUACGCCGUAGUCAGAGGUGAAAUUCUUGGAUUUACGGCAGACGAACAUCUGCGAAAGCAUUUGCCAAGGAUGUUUUCAUUA
rnacentral:rRNA from 1 species